rnacentral:rRNA from 1 species
UACAGAGGGUGCGAGCGUUGUUCGGAAUUACUGGGCGUAAAGGGCGCGUAGGCGGUUUGCUAAGUUGGAUGUGAAAACUCUGGGCUUAACCCAGAGCCUGCAUCCAAAACUGGCAAACUUGAGUACUGGAGGGGAAAGCGGAAUUCCUGGUGUAGCGGUGAAAUGCGUAGAUAUCAGGAGGAACACCGGUGGCGAAGGCGGCUUUCUGGACAGUAACUGACGCUGAGGCGCGAAAGCUAGGGGAGCAAACAGG